AAACCCGGUGAUCUAGCCAUGGGCAGGUUGAAGGUUGGGUAACACUAACUGGAGGACCGAACCGACUAAUGUUGAAAAAUUAGCGGAUGACUUGUGGCUGGGGGGGAAAGGCCAAUCAAACCGGGAGAUAGCUGGUUCUCCCCGAAAGCUAUUUAGGUAGCGCCUCGUGAAUUCAUCUCCGGGGGUAGAGCACUGUUUCGGCAAGGGGGUCAUCCCGACUUACCAACCCGAUGCAAACUGCGAAUACCGGAGAAUGUUAUCACGGGAGACACACGGCGGGUGCUAACGUCCGUCGUGAAGAGGGAAACAACCCAGACCGCCAGCUAAGGUCCCAAAGUCAUGGUUAAGUGGGAAACGAUGUGGGAAGGCCCAGACAGCCAGGAUGUUGGCUUAGAAGCAGCCAUCAUUUAAAGAAAGCGUAAUAGCUCACUGGUCGAGUCGGCCUGCGCGGAAGAUGUAACGGGGCUAAACCAUGCACCGAAGCUGCGGCAGCGACGCUGAUGCGUUGUUGGGUAGGGGAGCGUUCUGUAAGCCUGCGAAGGUGUGCUGUGAGGCAUGCUGGAGGUAUCAGAAGUGCGAAUGCUGACAUAAGUAACGAUAAAGCGGGUGAAAAGCCCGCUCGCCGGAAGACCAAGGGUUCCUGUCCAACG
rnacentral:rRNA from 1 species